CCGGCACUGAAAUAUUCCGAAGGAUAAUUGUCAGAUCCAUGACGUUGCUGAGAACGGCCGUGAGGCGAGGAUAAACGAUAUCCGAUCGAAUGGCUUUCACGGACCAUAAAAGCUCCCAACACCAACACAAUCUUUAUUCGACAAUCGAAGCGAGUGACUUCAUCGUUGAUCCGACGGAAGGAGAAUAUUACAUCCGCGCGCCCAGGAGCAGCGUUUGCUUAUAAAUGCAGCGCGGCGUCAUCACCAGCCUAAUUCGCUUUUUAAGGCGAUUUGAUUAAUUGAACAAGGCGAGAAGCAACUGGUUUAUUUGAAUUCCAGCCGACGAUCUGCACCAAGACAAUUCAAAAUGAAAUCGGCGCGCAUUUUUUGAUCGCCUAAUAAUUGGCUGAGACUAAAUGUGUGCGAAUAACGGUUUCGGCGCCGUAAAUUGAAACC
rnacentral:lncRNA from 1 species